UUCGUAUGUGACCUGCGGAAGGAUCAUUACCAAAAGAUAAUCUUUCAACAUCUGAAAGAUCUUACCUUUGUGCUGGCUUUGACAGUUUUGUACUUUUGGGGCUUUAAAAUGGUUCAGUUAGUAAAAGGAGGGGAGUAAUCCCUUUUUCAUUGCUACUGGAUCGGCCCCAAAAAAUCAUAUCAUCCUUAUAAUUUUUUCUGAUUAAUUAACACAUGAUUUUAAUAAUCUGUUUAAAACAACUUUCAACAACGGAUCUCUUGGUUCUCGCAUCGAUGAAGAACGCAGCGAAAUGCGAUACGUAAUGUGAAUUGCAGAAUUCAGUGAAUCAUCGAAUCUUUGAACGCACAUUGCACUCCUUGGUAUUCCGAGGAGUAUGCCUGUUUCAGUAUCAUGAGCACUCUCACAACUAACCUUUGGGUGAAAUUGUGGAAUUGGAAUGCGCUGAUUUUAAUAACCAGCCCUUCUAAAAUCUAUUUCAUGACUGUCACCUAACACAGCAGUUUGGCCUAAUAGUUUUGACAUUGAUUUGUCAAAUCUUUGGCUUACAUUUGCUUCAGGUUGUCAGUUUUGAUAAUACAGAAAACUCAUUCAAAUUUUGAUCUGAAAUCAGGUAGGGCUACCCGCUGAACUUAAGCAUAUCAAUAAGCGGAGGAAAAGAAACUAACAAGGAUUCCCCUAGUAACGGCGAGUGAAGCGGGAAGAGCUCAAAUUUAAAAUCUAGUUUGCUUGCAAACUCGAGUUGUAGUCUGAGAAACGUUUUCCAUGAAAGCUGAGCACAGUCCUUUGGAACAGGCAUCAUAGAGGUGAGAUCCGUCAUGUCUCAGUCUUUCAUUUGUGAUACGUUUCUAGAGUCAGGUUGUUUGGGAUGCAGCUAAAUGGUUGUAAUUUCUCUAGCUAAAAUUGGCGAAGCAU
rnacentral:rRNA from 1 species